rnacentral:rRNA from 1 species
GGACAACCUACCCUAUGGAGGGGGAUAACUCCGGGAAACUGGGGAUAAUACCCCAUAGACUAUGGAUGCUGGAAUGCUUUGUAGUUGAAAGGUCCGCCGCCAUAGGAUGGGUCUGCGGCCGAUUAGGUUGUUGUUGGGGUAACGGCCCAACAAGCCUGUAAUCGGUACGGGUUGUGGGAGCAAGAGCCCGGAGAUGGAUUCUGAGACACGAAUCCAGGCCCUACGGGGCGCAGCAGGCGCGAAAACUUUACAAUGCGGGAAACCGUGAUAAGGGAACUCCGAGUGCCCGUAAAAUCGGGCUGUCCAUCUGUUUAAAUAACAGGUGAAGAAAGGGCCGGGCAAGACCGGUGCCAGCCGCCGCGGUAAUACCGGCGGCUCGAGUGGUGGCCACUAUUACUGGGCUUAAAGCGUUCGUAGCUGGUCUGUUAAGUCUCUGGGGAAAUCUACUGGCUUAACCAUUAGGCGUCUCAGGGAUACUGGCAGACUAGGGACCGGGAGAGGUGAGAGGUACUCCAGGGGUAGGAGUGAAAUCCUGUAAACCUUGGGGGACCACCUGUGGCGAAGGCGCCUCACCAGAACGGCUUCGACAGUGAGGGACGAAAGCUGGGGGAGCAAACCGGAUUAGAUACCCGGGUAGUCCCAGCCGUAAACGAUGCGCGUUAGGUGU